rnacentral:misc_RNA from 1 species
CGCAUUCAAUAGUAAUUCAGCAGAUGCAGCUACAGAUGAUGUUGACACACAUACACCAUUCCAUGCUUUGAGCGACCAUCUAAAGCAAUCCAAAAACAGAUCAAGACUCUGAAUUAACAAGUUCAUUUAAUAGUUAAAUUGACAUGAAACAUUCAAAAAAUGUACAUACAGGCAAACAUUGCAUGAUCAACCCCACCCUAACCCCUUGCGGUUUUCUUUUCCAUCUAUUCUUCAUGUAUAAGACUAUAAAGUAUGGAGAAGGUCUAAAAAUAUCCCCUCCCAUCUUCAACCACUAUCAGAGGUUCUUUUCCUCAUCAUUUUAGUCACCAGAGCUCAUUAACACUCUGAGAAAGUGAGAAUCACACAAAAACAACACAAAUAUAAUCCCCCAUCACCCCAUUAUGCAACUCACACAUCAAGCUGGGGAACGGCCGGUGUUCUUGAUGCUGCAGAUGUUUGAGGCCUUGAUUCGGCAAUUUUUGCAGCCACUUCAGCCAUAACAAGUCUAGUCAGAAGCAGACCAGCAAUUAAAGCUGCCCCCAUUAGCAUUGUGAAAACUGCACUCCAGCUCUUCUCAGAAAUAUAACCUGUCAGUAAAGGUCCAAUUGCAGCCCCAACUGAGCCUGUGCCAUCUAUAAUUGCUGUAACUGUUGCCAAUGCCCUUGAGUUCUCUUUCAAAGAACUGUGGGUUCCCAAGUCAGCUGAGACUGCUGUUGUUAUAAGAGCAUAAGGCCCAUUCACAAACAUGCCGGUGAUAAACAUAAGGGCAAUAUUUACAACCAAGGAAAUAUGUCCAUAGCUUCGGUAAAAGAAGAGAGCAGGGAUUGCACAGUACAUGAAGCUUGCAGCCGUAAUGGCUCUGGCAUCUAGACGAUCAGAAAUGUGUCCAGCUAAGAUUCCUCCAAUCACCCCUCCCACAUCAAACAAUGUUGAUAAGUUCCCAGCUGUGCCACUUGAUAAGUACUUCCCAUUGAUAGCUGUAAGAUUGGCAAACCAUAGAAUUCAUAUAAGGAAGCCUAAGGAUGUAUUCCAUGACCUAUAAGUUGAUAAACACACAUUUUGAUUUUAAUUAUUAUCAUUUUUAUGAAUAAAUAUACUGAAAAAGAAAACUAUAAGAACAAUGAAUGUUGCAUCUGAAUGAUUUGUCUAGUUGAGUUGGGUUGAGCACAUAAUUUCAUCAAAAGCAAACAGAUGAACCUCAAACUUUUCAAUAAAAGGUCAAUUAAAAGGUGCAGUUAUCUUGAACUGCAGGGAUUAAAUAACGCACAACUCUCAAUUCAAUCCACUUUAUACUCAGACGUUAAAUUUUCAACUGCAGUUAAAAUUUUAUGAGCUGUUCAGCAUGUUCAAACAUACUGCAAUUCAAGCUUACCACGAAAUUAAAAAGCCAGUGAAUCCAAAUUACCUGUGUGGCUAAUGUAGAAAGGAAGCCAGUAGAGAAAUGUGUAAGCCACCAAUUUGGCAAAGAAAAGGCAAAGAGCAAAAGGAGCAACCCCUGGAAUUUUCCAUGCUUCAAUGAACCCAACUGCCGUCUCCUUAACCUUGGAGUCUGAUCCCAAAAGAGGCUCUGUAACUUCCUCUUCGGUUUUCUUUGGAUAAUGCAAUUCAUCUUCGUUUCUGUCAAUUCCAACAGAUUCAGGACUAACAGGAAGUACUAGAAAAACCACCAAGCCUAUAAAAGCAAUAAGGAAGCCAGGCACGACAAAUGACCAGCCCCAUCCAUAGCUCAACAUUGCAGAAGCAAUCAAAGACCCUGAAAUGUUCCCAACAGAGGUAUGAGCAUUCCAUAUACCCAUAAUUAGUCCUCUCUUGCUUUUCCCAAACCAGUUUCCGACCACAGCAACCACUGAAGGCCAUCCAGUUGACUGGAACAAACCAGCAAUCAUUUGUAUUAUCAAGAAGUAGUAAAAGCUAUGUUCAUUUGCCCAAUAACCAGCACCAAACAACGAAGUAAAUAAACCGGUUCCUAUCAUUCCUACUGUCAAAAAGAUCCUUAAAUCCAUCCUGUCACCUAUAUGUCCAGAGAAAUACAUUGCUAUGGCAUAUAUAGAGAGAAAAGCCAGGUCAAGAUCACCUAGCAAGGCUGUGCCGUCUGAUCCAUUAAAUGGAGUCCAACCAUCUCCAAGUGCCCAUGAAAAUCCUCUCCUUUCUUCUGGUUCACUUAAGUAAGUUAUCCUCCAAGGAAUGAACUUCAAACCCACCUCAGUUGAUUGAGGAUCAAGGGUACUCUUGACAAUGCUUGUGGUUUUUCGAGCAGCAUGGUAGCUAGCAUAUGCGAAAAAUGUUAUAAUCAAAACAAUGGCUUGGUAGGUUUUGUAGGAAAGUCUGUCUUUCUUUACGAAUUCUAAGAAUUGAAUUCCAUAGAGUUUAUUUUGAUUUCUCUCAGGUACUGGUUCCGAUAAUGGACCCAUGUAUGAAACCUUAACUCUGCAAGGAAUAAAGCAGAAUUGGAGGCUUCACCUUCCUUUCUUAUUUUAUACCAAUUGCAACAAUCUGUAAAGCACACCAGUGGAAUAUUUCAGAUGAGAUAACAGUUAACGAAAAGCUCCAGAUUCAGAACAUUAAUACUCCAUCUUAAAACUAUAAAGACUGCUGAAUUAAAUAAGUAAUUUGUGUCUCACAAGCAAGUUUAAAAUAAAAACAGAAAUCAAGCAAAAAAAAUCCACGGAAUUAUUUACUUUUCAGUUUUCACAGUAAUAUAUGAUUGAUGCUGAAAUAGUACCUCAAAUUUGAACAAACUAAGCAGGGACAAGUUCAAAUUAAUAACUGGCUCUGCUAGACCAUCUCAAAUCUCAAUCAACAUCAAGCUUAAUGAGAUGAAAUAAUUAAAAAAAAAAAAGGUCUCAAUCUAUCCAUAAGCAGCAAAAAGCUUUCACCGUAUUCCGAAAUCACCAAAAAUCGUCUUCAGAGUCGGGUCAAAUCGAAUCAGUUAAAAAUAGAAUUAAAGAAGAAAACACACAGAAAUUCUCAAAACCAGACAAUAAAUUUUUCCCAGGGAAAAUCAUCAAUUUUACUUUUGUUUAACACGAAUCGGACUAGCCAUAAGCCCACUAGAUCUUUAAGAGAAUAAAGUUAGAGAAGUAAACAAUUCAUAAAAAACAGACGCAAACAUCAACGAAUUGACGAUCAAACAGAAGCUACUUCACUGAGAAAUAAACCGGAAAAUGAAAAUCAUUAAAAUCUCAAGCAUUCACCGCAAAACAUGUUUAAAGAACAACUUUUACAUUAAAAAAAAAAAGCAAAACCUUUUUCAACAAUCGGAGACAAACCCAAGAGUUGUUCACCAACAAAUUGACUUUUUAAGAAAUACCCAUCACAUUUGCGUAUAAAUGUUUAUACCCCAAAUAAAAACUCAAUUUGAAACCAAAAUGUCAAUAGCAGAAAUCAACUGAAUACAAAAAUUAUAAACGUAAUUGUCAACCAUAUAUGAACAUUAAACUGAAGUAAAAUAAUUACCUCUUGGUUAGAUGAACUCACCCUGACUUGGUAGCUUGUUGUCCCUUUCUCUCUCUCUCUAAGGCAAUUACGUUCUCUCCUUCCUUUCACUCUCGUAAAGAAACUCUCUUUUCUCUCUGGUUUUUCUGUUGCUUAACGAACAAAAAC